ACGCAAGAUCCCCAAGACAUCCCGGCAAACAAUACUAGGGUUGGUGAGGUACCUCUCGCUCUAAUUUCUCUAGUCUAGUCUAGUUGCCUCGCUUCCUCCUAUAGCGAUUCUGUCGAGCUGAGCUUUCACGUCCCUCAUUACCGAUCUCCUUCCUACCCCUCGCCUAAGAUCGUCUGAUGUCUCGCCUGACACCUUUCGUUGUGUUGGUGCUAUGCGGCUGCUGUCACUGUAGAAGUCAGGUUGUGUGUGUAAAAAAAACAAUAAACAAUGUAAACAAUGUUGUUGGCUGAUCAAUUUUGCAAAAGUAAGUGGUAGAAGUCUUGCCCAAUGCGUACUGGCUCCGUCGGAAGCAGUACGUGCAUGUACCGGGGUAGGAAAGUGGUGUGGUGAACAACACAGCACAAGACAGCGGAUAUAAUGCAGAAACGAUAUGGGCCUGCCGCAGGUGUUUGCGACUGUGCGUUGCAUUGUAUAUGAUUCGGUAUGUUCGCCAAUUUUCCUCUAUCCUGGAACGUGGGCUUACGAGGAACCAUUUAAGAACAUCCUCCGGAAGCUGUACGGCGAAGAGUUGGGCUCUACCAGCACAACACGCUAGAGGCCCAGCCGGCACCGGGUGCCCCGAUUGGACCGUCAGACGGUGUCGAGCGUGCUCGUUCAUAACGUUCGUGGCAGGGAUUCAACCCUUUGGAACCUCAUUGUCCUCUGCCUCACAAUAGCUGCAGCAGCAACAGGACCGACCUCACUACUGAUAGCGGCCAAAUUUCCUGGCAGGAGAAAAAAUCCCACAAGUGUAUCGAUUUCAUCGACGGCCGCUCGCUGGCAGCACCAACAUGCCACCGAAUAACCCCGGAAAGGCGACAAACACUCAUCUCCAGCGGCAAACAAAUUGGUAACAAUAACCCACUUUCGCACAUCUAUACGACAUCACGUUAAUAGUAUUAUUGUGAUGAUGUUAACGAGUUAAGAUUAGACUUAAGUACGCUUUAAGGCAUACAUCGAUAUGCCUAAUUUUAAGUUAAGUGUUUUGACAAUCGCGUGUGUGUCAAGGGGCGGAAUAAGUGCUAAGCAAAUUAAGCGGCCGUGUCGGGCCCCGUGGUCUUGAGGGGCCCCAAAAAAGGAACCCACCCCCCGCUCGCAAGUUAAAUUGCUACUAAAUCCCUCUCUAGUUUAGAAUAUUUCCCUGCUAGACGCUUAAACCAAACUUACAUUUAUGCGACUGCUUCGGGCAUCCACUCGUAUGUGUGGGUUUUGCACAACAUUUAAGAUAAAUAAAUUUAGUUUAUAUUAUCAUAAAACACUACGCAUUUUUAAAGGGGGAAUAAAGAUGAUGACAUAUAUUUAGUUUGUUAGAAGGUUUGUAUGCACGUUCACUAGUUUAUUUUAUCUGGAUUCUUUGCGGACUGCUUUUCGAUUGCGCAUGUCGCUUUGCCUCGUCUUGUGUUUUACAAACCCCAACAGCAAGGAUGCGGCUAGUCUAUCAUUGGAUUAACCUGGUGGAUCUGGUAGCUUGUAGCGCACCAUACUCGCCUGUCCGCGAUGGGUAGGCCAUGUCAUACCCCUGGUACUGAACGAUCCAGCCCAUAGUCGUUCGCAAAGACAAAACGGUGUGUCGCAGAAUGUGUAACAGAUGGUAGAAAAUGGGUACCUGGGGGUGAGAGAGUCUGUUUCUAAUGUUUUAUUAUCAGUUGGUGACACGUUCAAAUGGAUGUGCACAGAUCACGGCCCGAUCCUGAGGGCUCACCGUUGAAAAAGGCGCUGUCAGCGUGUGAUGUUCUCAAUGAGGAUCUUGACACGGAACCGAGAGUGG